rnacentral:rRNA from 1 species
GUGCCAGCAGCCGCGGUAAUACGAAGGGUGCAAGCGUUACUCGGAAUUACUGGGCGUAAAGCGUGCGUAGGUGGUUCGUUAAGUCUGAUGUGAAAGCCCUGGGCUCAACCUGGGAAUGGCAUUGGAUACUGGCGAUCUAGAGUGCGGUAGAGGGCAGUGGAAUUCCCGGUGUAGCAGUGAAAUGCGUAGAGAUCGGGAGGAACAUCUGUGGCGAAGGCGACUGCCUGGACCAGCACUGACACUGAGGCACGAAAGCGUGGGGAGCAAACAGGAUUAGAUACCCUGGUAGUCC